rnacentral:rRNA from 2 species
UAAUAACUGGAGGAAGGUGGGGAUGACGUCAAAUCAUCAUGCCCCUUAUGACUUGGGCUACACACGUGCUACAAUGGACGAUACAAACGGUAGCCAACUCGCGAGAGGGAGCUAAUCCGAUAAAGUCGUUCUCAGUUCGGAUUGUAGGCUGCAACUCGCCUACAUGAAGCCGGAAUCGCUAGUAAUCGCGGAUCAGCAUGCCGCGGUGAAUACGUUCCCGGGCCUUGUACACACCGCCCGUCACACCACGAGAGUUUGUAACACCAGAAGUCGGUGAGGUAACCUUUUGGAGCCAGCCGCCGAAGGUGGGAUAGAUGAUUGGGGUGAAGUCGAAGCUGU